rnacentral:rRNA from 1 species
UACGUAGGGGGCAAGCGUUGUCCGGAAUCAUUGGGCGUAAAGCGCGCGUAGGCGGCCCGGUAAGUCCGCUCUGAAAGUCCGGGGCUCAACCCCCGGGAUGCCGGUGGAUACUGUCGAGCUCGAGUCCGGAAGAGGCGAGUGGAAUUCCUGGUGUAGCGGUGAAAUGCGCAGAUAUCAGGAGGAACACCAAUGGCGAAGGCAGCUCGCUGGGACGUGACUGACGCUGAGACGCGAAAGCGUGGGGAGCAAACAGG